rnacentral:rRNA from 1 species
GCCUAGCCCUAAACAAAGGUGUACUAACCACACCCUACACUCGCCAGAGAAUUACGAGCAAUCCGCUUAAAACUCAAAGGACUUGACGGUAUUUCGAAUCCACCUAGAGGAGCCUGUCCUGUAAUCGACAAUACACGAUUAACCCAACCACCUUUUGCCUCAAACAGCCUGUAUACCGCCGUCGCAAGCUUACCCCCUGAGGGCCACAAUAUCUAGCACAACAGCUUAAUUUCUUGAGCUAACACGUCAGGUCAAGGUGCAGCCAAUAAGGUGGCAGAGAUGAGCUACAUUUUCUAUAAUAUAGAAAUUAGUCACGGAGGGACCUGUGAAACCAGGACUGUAAAAGUAGGAUUUAGUAGUAAAUUAGGAGAAGAGUGCCUAAUUGAAAAGGGCCCCGAAAUAUGU